rnacentral:rRNA from 1 species
AGGCAGCAGUAGGGAAUCUUCCACAAUGGACGCAAGUCUGAUGGAGCAACGCCGCGUGAGUGAAGAAGGUUUUCGGAUCGUAAAGCUCUGUUGUUGGUGAAGAAGGAUAGAGGCAGUAACUGGUCUUUAUUUGACGGUAAUCAACCAGAAAGUCACGGCUAACUACGUGCCAGCAGCCGCGGUAAUACGUAGGUGGCAAGCGUUGUCCGGAUUUAUUGGGCGUAAAGCGAGCGCAGGCGGAAUGAUAAGUCUGAUGUGAAAGCCCACGGCUCAACCGUGGAACUGCAUCGGAAACUGUCAUUCUUGAGUGCAGAAGAGGAGAGUGGAAUUCCAUGUGUAGCGGUGGAAUGCGUAGAUAUAUGGAAGAACACCAGUGGCGAAGGCGGCUCUCUGGUCUGCAACUGACGCUGAGGCUCGAAAGCAUGGGUAGCGAACAGGAUUAGAUACCCUGGUAGUCCAUGCCGUAAACGAUGAGCGCUAGGUGUUGGGGACUUUCCGGUCCUCAGUGCCGCAGCAAACGCAUUAAGCG